AGGACUAGUUUGCCAGAGACAUGUUCUGUAGGUCAAACAUUGGCUCAUGUAUGGCUGAAGUAACAUCAGAGUGAGGCAAAGAGUCUGUACACAAAAUUCAUGAUCAAGGACAAAAACAACCUGUUUAAAUAGGUCUAAAAUGGACUUCUGUAUGGCUGAAAUGAAAUCAGAAGGAGUCAAUGAGUCUCUGUAGAAAGUUCAAGAUCAAGUGCUCUUAGGCCAGAAAUAUGUUCCUAAGGUCAAAUAUGGACUACUGUCUGUGUGAUGUAACACCAGAAGGAGUCAAUGAGUCUGUAUAGAAAUUUCAUCAUCAAGGACUAAAUUGCCAGAAAUUUGUUCGGUAGAUCAAAAAUGGGAUCAUAUAUGGCUUAAGUAACAUCAGAAUGAGUCAAUGAGUAUGUAUUGAAAGUUUAAGAUAGAGUACUUUUGGGCCAUAAAUAUGUUCAGUAGGUCAAACAUGGACUGCAGUAUGGCUGAUGUGACAUCAGAAGGUGUAUGUAUAUGUAUAAGUAUGUGAAAAAAGUUCAAGACUGAGUAUUCUAUGUCUAGAAAUAUGUCCAAAAUAUGCAAUACUCUAAGGCUCAAGUAACAUCAGAGUGAGGAAUUUAUGUAAAGUUCAUGAUCGAGGACUCUUGGAACAGAUAAAAUUUAAUCACGUCUCAUAUGGUCUUCUGUAUGGGUGAAGUGACAUUAGAAGGAGUCAAUAGUAAUGUAUGAAGAGUUCAUGAUCGUGGACUAAUUGGCCAGAAAUAUGUCCAUUAGGUCAAAUAUGGCUCUAUGGCUGAAGGAACAUCACAAUUAGGCAUGUAUAUAAAGUUCAUGAUCGAGGACUCUUGGGACCGAAAAUCUUUAAUCAAGACUAAAAUGGACUCCUGUUAACCUGAAAAAAUACAAAAAAAAAAAAAAAAAACAGGAGUCAAUGACUAAGGAUAGAGAGUUCAAGAUCAAGGACAAAUUUGCCAGAAAUAUGUUCAGUAUCCCUAAUAUGGACUUCUUCAUGGGUGAAGUAACAUCAUAAGGAGUCAAUAGUAAUGUAUGAAAAGUUCAAGUUUGAGUACUUUCUGGCCAGAAAUAUGUCCAUUGUAUCAAAUAUGCAAUACUCUAUGGCUGACGUAUCAUCAGAAAUGACUAGGUAUAAAAAGUUUUGAGCGAGGACUAAUUUGCCAGAGAUAUGUUCUGUAGGUCAAACAUAGGGUCAUGUACGGCUGAAGUAACAUCAGAGUGAGGCAAAGAGUAUGUAUACAAAAUUCAUGAUCGAAGACAAAAGAUUUUUUAGGCAGGUCUAAAAUGGACCAGUAUGCCUGAAAUAAAAUCAGAAUGAGUCAAUGAGUAGGUAUAGAAAGUUCUUGAUCGAGUACUAAUUUGCCAGAAAUAUGUUGGGUAGGUCUUAUAUGGACUUCUGUAUGGGUGAAGUAACAUGAGAAGGAGUCAAUGAUAAUGUAGGAAAAGUUCAAGAUCGAGUGCUAUUUGGCCAGAAAUAUGUCCACUGGGUCAAAUAUGCAAUACUCUAUGGCUGACGUAUCAUCAGGAGUCAAUGAGUAUCUAUAGAAAGUUCAAGAUCAAGUGCUCUUAGGCCAGAAAUAUGUUCCUAAGGUCAAAUAUGGACUACUCACUGUCUGAUAUAACACCAGAAGGAGUCAAUCAGUCUGAAUAGAAAUUUCAUCAUCAUGGACCAAUAUGCCAGAAAUUUUUUCAGUAGGUCAACAAUGGGUUCAAACACGUCUGAAGUAACAUCAGAAUGAGUCAAUGAGUAUGUAUUGAAUGUUCAAGAUCGAGUACCAAUAUGCCAGAAAUAUGUUCAGUUGGUCAAAUAUGGACUCCAGUAUGGCUGAUAUGACAUCAGAAGGCAUCAGUAAGUAUUUAUCAAAAGUUCAAGAUCGAGUUCUCUUGGCCUGAAACAUGUCCAUUGUGUCAAAUAUACAAUACUCUUUAACUGACGUUUCAUCAGAAGGCAUCAAUGAGUAGGCAUGGAAAGUUCUUGAGCGAGUACUAAUUUGCUAUAAAUAUGAUCAGUAGGUCUUAUAUUGACUUCUGUACGGCUGAAAUAAAAUCAGAACGAGUCAAUGAGUAUCUAUAGGAAGUUCAAGGUCAAGCGAUCUUUGGCCAGAAAUAUGUUCCUAAGGUCAAAUAUGGACUACUAUCUGUCUGAUGUAACACCAGUAUAGAAAUUUCAUCAUCAAGGACCAAUUUGCUAGAAAUUUGUUCAGUGGGAAAAAAUGGGUUCAUACAUGACUGAAGUAAGAUCAGAAUGACUCAAUGAGUAUGUAUUGAAUGUUCAAGAUUGAGUACCAAUAUGCCAGAAAUAUGUUCAGUCGGUCAAAUAUGGACCACUCUUUGGCUUAUCUAACAUCAGAUGGAGUCAAUAGGCAUGUAUAUGAAUUUCAUGAUCGAGGACUAAUUUGCCAGAAAUAUGUUCAGUAGGUGUAAUAUGGACUUCUGUAUGGGUGAAGUAACAUGAGAAGGAGUCAAUGAUAAUGUAUAAAAAGUUCAAGAUCGAGUGCUCUAUAGCUAGAAAUAUACCAAUUGGCUCAAGUAUGCGAUACUCUAUGGCUGACAUUUCAUCAGAAUGAGUCAAUGAGUAUGUUUAUGAGUUUAUGAGCGAGGACUAGUUUGCCAGAGACAUGUUCUGUAGGUCAAACAUUGGCUCAUGUAUGGCUGAAGUAACAUCAGAGUGAGGCAAAGAGUCUGUACACAAAAUUCAUGAUCAAGGACAAAAACAACCUGUUUAAAUAGGUCUAAAAUGGACUUCUGUAUGGCUGAAAUGAAAUCAGAAGGAGUCAAUGAGUCUCUGUAGAAAGUUCAAGAUCAAGUGCUCUUAGGCCAGAAAUAUGUUCCUAAGGUCAAAUAUGGACUACUGUCUGUGUGAUGUAACACCAGAAGGAGUCAAUGAGUCUGUAUAGAAAUUUCAUCAUCAAGGACUAAAUUGUCAGAAAUUUGUUCAGUAGAUCAAAAAUGGGAUCAUAUAUGGCUUAAGUAACAUCAGAAUGAGUCAAUGAGUAUGUAUUGAAAGUUUAAGAUAGAGUACUUUUGGGCCAUAAAUAUGUUCAGUAGGUCAAACAUGGACUGCAGUAUGGCUGAUGUGACAUCAGAAGGUGUAUGUAUAUGUAUAAGUAUGUGAAAAAAGUUCAAGACUGAGUAUUCUAUGCCUAGAAAUAUGUCCAAAAUAUGCAAUACUCUAAGGCUCAAGUAACAUCAGAGUGAGGAAUUUAUGUAAAGUUCAUGAUCGAGGACUCUUGGAACAGAUAAAAUUUAAUCAAGUCUCAUAUGGUCUUCUGUAUGGGUGAAGUGACAUUAGAAGGAGUCAAUAGUAAUGUAUGAAGAGUUCAUGAUCGUGGACUAAUUGGCCAGAAAUAUGUCCAUUAGGUCAAAUAUGGCUCUAUGGCUGAAGGAACAUCACAAUUAGGCAUGUAUAUAAAGUUCAUGAUCGAGGACUCUUGGGACCGAAAAUCUUUAAUCAAGACUAAAAUGGACUCCUGUUAACCUGAAAAAAUACAAAAAAAAAAAAAAAAACAGGAGUCAAUGACUAAGGAUAGAGAGUUCAAGAUCAAGGACAAAUUUGCCAGAAAUAUGUUCAGUAUCCCUAAUAUGGACUUCUUCAUGGGUGAAGUAACAUCAUAAGGAGUCAAUAGUAAUGUAUGAAAAGUUCAAGUUUGAGUACUUUCUGGCCAGAAAUAUGUCCAUUGUAUCAAAUAUGCAAUACUCUAUGGCUGACGUAUCAUCAGAAAUGACUAGGUAUAAAAAGUUUUGAGCGAGGACUAAUUUGCCAGAGAUAUGUUCUGUAGGUCAAACAUAGGGUCAUGUACGGCUGAAGUAACAUCAGAGUGAGGCAAAGAGUAUGUAUACAAAAUUCAUGAUCGAAGACAAAAGAUUUUUUAGGCAGGUCUAAAAUGGACCAGUAUGCCUGAAAUAAAAUCAGAAUGAGUCAAUGAGUAGGUAUAGAAAGUUCUUGAUCGAGUACUAAUUUGCCAGAAAUAUGUUGGGUAGGUCUUAUAUGGACUUCUGUAUGGGUGAAGUAACAUGAGAAGGAGUCAAUGAUAAUGUAGGAAAAGUUCAAGAUCGAGUGCUAUUUGGCCAGAAAUAUGUCCACUGGGUCAAAUAUGCAAUACUCUAUGGCUGACGUAUCAUCAGGAGUCAAUGAGUAUCUAUAGAAAGUUCAAGAUCAAGUGCUCUUAGGCCAGAAAUAUGUUCCUAAGGUCAAAUAUGGACUACUCACUGUCUGAUAUAACACCAGAAGGAGUCAAUCAGUCUGAAUAGAAAUUUCAUCAUCAUGGACCAAUAUGCCAGAAAUUUUUUCAGUAGGUCAACAAUGGGUUCAAACACGUCUGAAGUAACAUCAGAAUGAGUCAAUGAGUAUGUAUUGAAUGUUCAAGAUCGAGUACCAAUAUGCCAGAAAUAUGUUCAGUUGGUCAAAUAUGGACUCCAGUAUGGCUGAUAUGACAUCAGAAGGCAUCAGUAAGUAUUUAUCAAAAGUUCAAGAUCGAGUUCUCUUGGCCUGAAACAUGUCCAUUGUGUCAAAUAUACAAUACUCUUUAACUGACGUUUCAUCAGAAGGCAUCAAUGAGUAGGCAUGGAAAGUUCUUGAGCGAGUACUAAUUUGCUAUAAAUAUGAUCAGUAGGUCUUAUAUUGACUUCUGUACGGCUGAAAUAAAAUCAGAACGAGUCAAUGAGUAUCUAUAGGAAGUUCAAGGUCAAGCGAUCUUUGGCCAGAAAUAUGUUCCUAAGGUCAAAUAUGGACUACUAUCUGUCUGAUGUAACACCAGUAUAGAAAUUUCAUCAUCAAGGACCAAUUUGCUAGAAAUUUGUUCAGUGGGAAAAAAUGGGUUCAUACAUGACUGAAGUAAGAUCAGAAUGACUCAAUGAGUAUGUAUUGAAUGUUCAAGAUUGAGUACCAAUAUGCCAGAAAUAUGUUCAGUCGGUCAAAUAUGGACCACUCUUUGGCUUAUCUAACAUCAGAUGGAGUCAAUAGGCAUGUAUAUGAAUUUCAUGAUCGAGGACUAAUUUGCCAGAAAUAUGUUCAGUAGGUGUAAUAUGGACUUCUGUAUGGGUGAAGUAACAUGAGAAGGAGUCAAUGAUAAUGUAUAAAAAGUUCAAGAUCGAGUGCUCUAUAGCUAGAAAUAUACCAAUUGGCUCAAGUAUGCGAUACUCUAUGGCUGACAUUUCAUCAGAAUGAGUCAAUGAGUAUGUUUAUGAGUUUAUGAGCGAGGACUAGUUUGCCAGAGACAUGUUCUGUAGGUCAAACAUUGGCUCAUGUAUGGCUGAAGUAACAUCAGAGUGAGGCAAAGAGUCUGUACACAAAAUUCAUGAUCAAGGACAAAAACAACCUGUUUAAAUAGGUCUAAAAUGGACUUCUGUAUGGCUGAAAUGAAAUCAGAAGGAGUCAAUGAGUCUCUGUAGAAAGUUCAAGAUCAAGUGCUCUUAGGCCAGAAAUAUGUUCCUAAGGUCAAAUAUGGACUACUGUCUGUGUGAUGUAACACCAGAAGGAGUCAAUGAGUCUGUAUAGAAAUUUCAUCAUCAAGGACUAAAUUGUCAGAAAUUUGUUCAGUAGAUCAAAAAUGGGAUCAUAUAUGGCUUAAGUAACAUCAGAAUGAGUCAAUGAGUAUGUAUUGAAAGUUUAAGAUAGAGUACUUUUGGGCCAUAAAUAUGUUCAGUAGGUCAAACAUGGACUGCAGUAUGGCUGAUGUGACAUCAGAAGGUGUAUGUAUAUGUAUAAGUAUGUGAAAAAAGUUCAAGACUGAGUAUUCUAUGCCUAGAAAUAUGUCCAAAAUAUGCAAUACUCUAAGGCUCAAGUAACAUCAGAGUGAGGAAUUUAUGUAAAGUUCAUGAUCGAGGACUCUUGGAACAGAUAAAAUUUAAUCAAGUCUCAUAUGGUCUUCUGUAUGGGUGAAGUGACAUUAGAAGGAGUCAAUAGUAAUGUAUGAAGAGUUCAUGAUCGUGGACUAAUUGGCCAGAAAUAUGUCCAUUAGGUCAAAUAUGGCUCUAUGGCUGAAGGAACAUCACAAUUAGGCAUGUAUAUAAAGUUCAUGAUCGAGGACUCUUGGGACCGAAAAUCUUUAAUCAAGACUAAAAUGGACUCCUGUUAACCUGAAAAAAUACAAAAAAAAAAAAAAAAAACAGGAGUCAAUGACUAAGGAUAGAGAGUUCAAGAUCAAGGACAAAUUUGCCAGAAAUAUGUUCAGUAUCCCUAAUAUGGACUUCUUCAUGGGUGAAGUAACAUCAUAAGGAGUCAAUAGUAAUGUAUGAAAAGUUCAAGUUUGAGUACUUUCUGGCCAGAAAUAUGUCCAUUGUAUCAAAUAUGCAAUACUCUAUGGCUGACGUAUCAUCAGAAAUGACUAGGUAUAAAAAGUUUUGAGCGAGGACUAAUUUGCCAGAGAUAUGUUCUGUAGGUCAAACAUAGGGUCAUGUACGGCUGAAGUAACAUCAGAGUGAGGCAAAGAGUAUGUAUACAAAAUUCAUGAUCGAAGACAAAAGAUUUUUUAGGCAGGUCUAAAAUGGACCAGUAUGCCUGAAAUAAAAUCAGAAUGAGUCAAUGAGUAGGUAUAGAAAGUUCUUGAUCGAGUACUAAUUUGCCAGAAAUAUGUUGGGUAGGUCUUAUAUGGACUUCUGUAUGGGUGAAGUAACAUGAGAAGGAGUCAAUGAUAAUGUAGGAAAAGUUCAAGAUCGAGUGCUAUUUGGCCAGAAAUAUGUCCACUGGGUCAAAUAUGCAAUACUCUAUGGCUGACGUAUCAUCAGGAGUCAAUGAGUAUCUAUAGAAAGUUCAAGAUCAAGUGCUCUUAGGCCAGAAAUAUGUUCCUAAGGUCAAAUAUGGACUACUCACUGUCUGAUAUAACACCAGAAGGAGUCAAUCAGUCUGAAUAGAAAUUUCAUCAUCAUGGACCAAUAUGCCAGAAAUUUUUUCAGUAGGUCAACAAUGGGUUCAAACACGUCUGAAGUAACAUCAGAAUGAGUCAAUGAGUAUGUAUUGAAUGUUCAAGAUCGAGUACCAAUAUGCCAGAAAUAUGUUCAGUUGGUCAAAUAUGGACUCCAGUAUGGCUGAUAUGACAUCAGAAGGCAUCAGUAAGUAUUUAUCAAAAGUUCAAGAUCGAGUUCUCUUGGCCUGAAACAUGUCCAUUGUGUCAAAUAUACAAUACUCUUUAACUGACGUUUCAUCAGAAGGCAUCAAUGAGUAGGCAUGGAAAGUUCUUGAGCGAGUACUAAUUUGCUAUAAAUAUGAUCAGUAGGUCUUAUAUUGACUUCUGUACGGCUGAAAUAAAAUCAGAACGAGUCAAUGAGUAUCUAUAGGAAGUUCAAGGUCAAGCGAUCUUUGGCCAGAAAUAUGUUCCUAAGGUCAAAUAUGGACUACUAUCUGUCUGAUGUAACACCAGUAUAGAAAUUUCAUCAUCAAGGACCAAUUUGCUAGAAAUUUGUUCAGUGGGAAAAAAUGGGUUCAUACAUGACUGAAGUAAGAUCAGAAUGACUCAAUGAGUAUGUAUUGAAUGUUCAAGAUUGAGUACCAAUAUGCCAGAAAUAUGUUCAGUCGGUCAAAUAUGGACCACUCUUUGGCUUAUCUAACAUCAGAUGGAGUCAAUAGGCAUGUAUAUGAAUUUCAUGAUCGAGGACUAAUUUGCCAGAAAUAUGUUCAGUAGGUGUAAUAUGGACUUCUGUAUGGGUGAAGUAACAUGAGAAGGAGUCAAUGAUAAUGUAUAAAAAGUUCAAGAUCGAGUGCUCUAUAGCUAGAAAUAUACCAAUUGGCUCAAGUAUGCGAUACUCUAUGGCUGACAUUUCAUCAGAAUGAGUCAAUGAGUAUGUUUAUGAGUUUAUGAGCGAGGACUAGUUUGCCAGAGACAUGUUCUGUAGGUCAAACAUUGGCUCAUGUAUGGCUGAAGUAACAUCAGAGUGAGGCAAAGAGUCUGUACACAAAAUUCAUGAUCAAGGACAAAAACAACCUGUUUAAAUAGGUCUAAAAUGGACUUCUGUAUGGCUGAAAUGAAAUCAGAAGGAGUCAAUGAGUCUCUGUAGAAAGUUCAAGAUCAAGUGCUCUUAGGCCAGAAAUAUGUUCCUAAGGUCAAAUAUGGACUACUGUCUGUGUGAUGUAACACCAGAAGGAGUCAAUGAGUCUGUAUAGAAAUUUCAUCAUCAAGGACUAAAUUGUCAGAAAUUUGUUCAGUAGAUCAAAAAUGGGAUCAUAUAUGGCUUAAGUAACAUCAGAAUGAGUCAAUGAGUAUGUAUUGAAAGUUUAAGAUAGAGUACUUUUGGGCCAUAAAUAUGUUCAGUAGGUCAAACAUGGACUGCAGUAUGGCUGAUGUGACAUCAGAAGGUGUAUGUAUAUGUAUAAGUAUGUGAAAAAAGUUCAAGACUGAGUAUUCUAUGCCUAGAAAUAUGUCCAAAAUAUGCAAUACUCUAAGGCUCAAGUAACAUCAGAGUGAGGAAUUUAUGUAAAGUUCAUGAUCGAGGACUCUUGGAACAGAUAAAAUUUAAUCAAGUCUCAUAUGGUCUUCUGUAUGGGUGAAGUGACAUUAGAAGGAGUCAAUAGUAAUGUAUGAAGAGUUCAUGAUCGUGGACUAAUUGGCCAGAAAUAUGUCCAUUAGGUCAAAUAUGGCUCUAUGGCUGAAGGAACAUCACAAUUAGGCAUGUAUAUAAAGUUCAUGAUCGAGGACUCUUGGGACCGAAAAUCUUUAAUCAAGACUAAAAUGGACUCCUGUUAACCUGAAAAAAUACAAAAAAAAAAAAAAAAAAACAG